rnacentral:rRNA from 1 species
CCUACGGGGGGCAGCAGUGGGGAAUAUUGGACAAUGGGCGAAAGCCUGAUCCAGCCAUGCCGCGUGUGUGAAGAAGGCCUUCGGGUUGUAAAGCACUUUCAGUGGGGAAGAAAGCCUUGGGGCUAAUACCCUCGAGGAAGGACAUCACCCACAGAAGAAGCACCGGCUAACUCCGUGCCAGCAGCCGCGGUAAUACGGAGGGUGCGAGCGUUAAUCGGAAUUACUGGGCGUAAAGCGCGCGUAGGCGGUCUGAUAAGCCGGUUGUGAAAGCCCCGGGCUCAACCUGGGAACGGCAUCCGGAACUGUCAGGCUAGAGUGCAGGAGAGGAAGGUAGAAUUCCCGGUGUAGCGGUGAAAUGCGUAGAGAUCGGGAGGAAUACCAGUGGCGAAGGCGGCCUUCUGGACUGACACUGACGCUGAGGUGCGAAAGCGUGGGUAGCAAACAGGAUUAGAUACCCGGGUAGGC